rnacentral:rRNA from 1 species
GACGAACGCUGGCGGCGGGCUUAACACAUGCAAGUCGAACGGAAAGGCCCUGCUUUUGUGGGGUGCUCGAGUGGCGAACGGGUGAGUAACACGUGAGUAACCUGGCUUGGACUUUGGGAUAACUGCAGGAAACUGGUGCUAAUACCUGAUAGGAGCUCCUGCUGCAUGGUGGGGGUUGGAAAGUUUCGGCGGUUGGGGAUGUACUCGCGGCUUAUCAGCUUGUUGGUGGGGUAGUGGCUUACCAAGGCUUUGACGGGUAGCCGGCCUGAGAGGGUGACCGGCCACAUUGGGACUGAGAUACGGCCCAGACUCCUACGGGAGGCAGCAGUGGGGAAUAUUGCACAAUGGGCGGAAGCCUGAUGAAGCAACGCCGCGUGCGGGAUGACGGCCUUCGGGUUGUAAACCGCUUUAGCCUGUGACGAAGCGUGAGUGACGGUAAUGGGUAAAGAAGCACCGGCUAACUACGUG